rnacentral:tRNA from 1 species
CGAGGUGUAGCGCAGCCUGGUAGCGUACUUCGUUCGGGACGAAGGGGUCGGAGGUUCGAAUCCUCCCACCUCGACCA